rnacentral:rRNA from 1 species
UACAGAGGUCUCAAGCGUUGUUCGGAUUCAUUGGGCGUAAAGGGUGCGUAGGCGGGUCUUUAAGUCAGGGGUGAAAUCCUGGAGCUCAACUCCAGAACUGCCUUUGAUACUGAAGAUCUUGAGUUCGGGAGAGGUGAGUGGAACUGCGAGUGUAGAGGUGAAAUUCGUAGAUAUUCGCAAGAACACCAGUGGCGAAGGCGGCUCACUGGCCCGAUACUGACGCUGAGGCACGAAAUCGUGGGGAGCAAACAGG